rnacentral:rRNA from 1 species
UACAGAGACUGCAAGCGUUAUUCGGAUUCACUGGGCGUAAAGGGUGCGCAGGCGGCCGUGUGUGUGCGGCUUGAAAGCCUGGAGCUUAACUCCAGAAUUGCACCUCAAACUACACGGCUAGAGCAUUGGAGAGGGUAGCAGAAUUCACGGUGUAGCGGUGAAAUGCAUAGAUAUGACUUAGAACACCAAUUGCGAAGGCAGCUUACUAAACAGAUAUUGACGCUGAGGCACGAAAGCGUGGGGAGCAAACAGG